rnacentral:rRNA from 1 species
GACGUAGGGGGCCAGCGUUGCUCGGAAUCACUGGGCGUAAAGCGCACGUAGGCGGAUUGUUAAGUCAGGGGUGAAAUCCUGGAGCUCAACUCCAGAACUGCCUUUGAUACUGGCGAUCUCGAGUCCGGGAGAGGUGAGUGGAACUCCGAGUGUAGAGGUGAAAUUCGUAGAUAUUCGGAAGAACACCAGUGGCGAAGGCGGCUCACUGGCCCGGUACUGACGCUGAUGUGCGAAAGCGUGGGGAGCAAACAGG